rnacentral:piRNA from 1 species
CAACUCUCAACAACGGAUAUCUU